rnacentral:lncRNA from 1 species
GCUUAGCAAACCUACGGGCUACAUUCUGUGUCCCGUGACUAAAGGGAGACACCUCCAAACAAUCGCUUCUGCCCAGGUUCAAAAGCCAGCACCCCAAGACUGGGUUAUGCGCCUGAGAGGGGGGCAGCGUACCCCCACUCCCCAGGAGAGGCGCCUUGGCAAGAGGCAAUGGGUCUAGUGCGCUGGAGGGCUCAGCUGAGUCCGCCCCACUUUUCACACCAGCCAGUGAUCCUGAAUCAGGUGCAGAUGGGAGGGUGGGGAGAGAAGGUGGAAAUCGUCCCGGGUGGUGGGGGUGAAGGUCUCCCCCAGUAGAAGCUGCGUUGGGAGAAGGGCCGGUGUUCUCCACACCAUGACUUUGGGGGUGAGUGUCUCUCAAUGCUUUAGCCUUACGCGCUGCCAGGGGGCUGUGAGCCAGCAUGACUCUCCCCCCCUGCACAGGCAGACAGAGCACCCGCAGGUGCCCUGGUCCCAGCGAGGUUCUCAGGCUCAGGCUUCUCAGACAAAGUCCCAAGUUCAAGUCCGCGCUGACGGGCUUUGCCAUGGGAUUCUCAGCUCCUUUCCAUCCCCGCCUUUUGUUCGCCUCUGACAAUUGCUCUUUAUUCCCCCCCUCCACACACCCCCGCCCUUCUGUACUUGGCACCGUUUAGCAGACUGACUGCAAACUUAACAACCCUGGUUCUUGGUAUAAGCACUCAAAUUACCCUUCUUUCUACAUAUAUACAUUUCCCCGGGAGUGCGCAUCUCCCUGCUGCAAGGGCUCGGGGGUGCCAGUCCCGUCCCCUAGUGCACGACACAGGGUCCCUUCACGCGGGAACUCAGGGGCUUGCUCUCAAAGUUAAGCUUCCAAAGCACCUAGAGACAACUUGCUGCUGAAGUCUGUAAGACACUGGGCUAGCAGAAGGAGAGACUAAGCAUGAAAAGAUUCAGCAGCGCUUCUUUCUGGGGCUUCCCCAAGCCAAGGCAGACCCGGGACUGCGCUCAGCAUUAUUCUCUCCAGUUUCUAAGGAGCCACAUGCCAGAGGGACAAGACCUGCAAUGUGUAGGGGAACCCUGGAAUAGGGAACCAGUCCAAUAUUGGAUACUACCUAAAGAAAGACACCCAGUGGCACCUGCCAUAGGUGCUGCUGAUGGGUCAAGCACCACACUAAGCACAGUGCUGACCUUCAGAGGUGCCGGGCACAGCAUGUAGAAGAGUGGACACUUUUAGAGAGAAGACCACUACCCAAGUGCAUGGGGCGGAAGAGGGAGCAGCCAACAGAAGCUGUUGCAAAUGCAGCCAUCUAAGAGAGAAGGCAAACCUAGCAGCCAGACUGUGAGGAUGCAGGACAAGCAUGUAGCGUGGGGAGCCUGCACUGAGAAGCCCUGUAGCACACCCCUCACCUUAGCCAGGGAAAGAGAAUUAGUUACAUGAAAGUGGGGGACACACUAGGCAGAAGUGUUAGAGUCUGGUGUGCAGUCACAUGUCUGAGGCACUGUGAUGCUGGCAAACCAGGUGCCAGCCUAUACCGAGGUCCCCGUGCCUCACUUGGAUACUGACAAACACAGAGCUGGAAUCAGCCUGGUUCACUGUUAAAACGGGGAUUAGAAUGAUAAAAAAUGUGCUUAGGGUACAGAUUCAUGGAAUGCUUGUAAAUUGCUGCUUGCAUUAAUCUCACCUAUAACAUCUGUAUACAGGUAAUAUGUGAGUGUUUGCACUGCAAGCCUCUGUAACUGUGUAAAUCACCAGCCAGGAGCGAAGCAUUAUCUAGUAUAAAAUACGAGUCUCCAACAGGUGUUAUGUCUGACUCCUGCCUGACAAAGAAGGCCCAUCAACACGAGAAGAACUAUUGUGGAACAUCAGAGGACAAAAGAGUUUGUUGCUUGCUUUCCCCCACACCUCAGGAAGAGGAAAGGUGCAAGUGAAUUCCUCCCAUUAGCUGAGUUUGCAACUUGAAGCAGAAGGGGGGAAGGAAUAAAAACCCUUCACAAGGAGGAACUGUAAUUUUA